GGUCUGAAGAAGUUCCACGUGGGGCACCACACAUCCCUUCUGGACCCCAGUUAAGCCACACUCCAGCUACAAGAGGUAUGAAAGCGUCCAAGAACGUAUCUGAAAAUACUGCAAAAAGC